rnacentral:rRNA from 1 species
GAUGUAGGUGGCUUUGUAAGUCGGGUGUGAAAGCCCAGGGGCUCAACCCUGGAAGUGCAUUCGAUACUGCGAAGCUUGAGUGCUAGAGGGGUUACUAGAAUACCUGGUGUAGUGGUGAAAUACGUAGAUAUCAGGUGGAAUACCGGAGGCGAAGGCGGGUAACCAGCUAGACACUGACACUCAGAUCCGAAAGUGUGGGGAUCAAACA